UCCAGACUCCUACGGGAGGCAGCAGUGGGGAAUAUUGGACAAUGGGGGGAACCCUGAUCCAGCGACGCCGCGUGAGUGAAGAAGUAUUUCGGUAUGUAAAGCUCUAUCAGCAGGGAAGAAAGAAAUGACGGUACCUGACUAAGAAGCCCCGGCUAACUACGUGCCAGCAGCCGCGGUAAUACGUAGGGGGCAAGCGUUAUCCGGAUUUACUGGGUGUAAAGGGAGCGUAGACGGCUGUGCAAGCCAGAUGUGAAAGCCCGGGGCUCAACCCCGGGACUGCAUUUGGAACUGCGUGGCUUGAGUGUCGGAGAGGCAGGCGGAAUUCCUAGUGUAGCGGUGAAAUGCGUAGAUAUUAGGAGGAACACCAGUGGCGAAGGCGGCCUGCUGGACGAUGACUGACGUUGAGGCUCGAAAGCGUGGGGAGCAAACAGGAUUAGAUACCCGCGUA
rnacentral:rRNA from 1 species